rnacentral:rRNA from 1 species
UGAGGAAUAUUGGACAAUGGGGGCAACCCUGAUCCAGCCAUGCCGCGUGAGUGAUGAAGGCCUUAGGGUUGUAAAGCUCUUUCAAUGGUGAAGAUAAUGACGGUAGCCAUAGAAGAAGCCCCGGCUAAAUUCGUGCCAGCAGCCGCGGUAAUACGAAUGGGGCAAGCGUUGUUCGGAAUCACUGGGCUUAAAGCGUGCGUAGGCGGACUUGCAAGUCAGGAGUGAAAUCCCGGGGCUCAACCCCGGAACUGCUCUUGAAACUGCAAGUCUAGAAACCGGUAGGGGCUAAUGGAAUUCCAAGUGGAGAGGUGAAAUUCGCAGAGAUUUGGAGGAACACCAGUGGCGUAGGCGAUUAGCUGGACCGGUAUUGACGCUGAGGUACGAAAGCGUGGGGAGCAAACAGGAUUAGAUACCCCCGUAGUCC